UCUCUCUGCAGCUCUCACCAAAACACAAAGGAAAAAUAUCACACAGUGAACUAUUUCCUCUGAAAUCCCACCACCAUCAAAACCUUUUUCACUGAAAACCCACCACCAUCCAACCAAUUUAUCUGAAGUUAUUAAAAAAAAAUUCUUAAAAACUCUUUGUUCAACCAAUUUCGUGUUUGAUAGAAACCCAGUUUCUUUUGAUGUGCAAUUAUCCAGUUUCGAUCUCAAUUUUGUCUACAGUUUGAGUGCUACUGAAAAAGUCUUUGUUCCAGAUCUAUUUGUUCUUCGUAAACGAAGUACAUUUUCGUUUCUCAAGGAAGGAAGAAGACCGUUUGUGGGCAAAUUUCUGUUGCAAACUAUGCAUGAAUAGAGCUUGGCCUGGUAUUGGAGAAGAAGCUCUGAAAGGUAUCAUUGAGAAUAAGAUUCAUGGGAAAGAUGGUGACGGAACAAAGAUCGUUGAUGGGAAAUUGUAUCCAUAAAAUAUGGUGAUAACUUCAAAGUUGUCCUUAUAUUUUCGUGAUAAUGUUGGUAUAUUUGACGUGGCUGAUGAAAAUUUUCGGAAGCUGGAGAAGAAGUACAAGGAGGUCGGGUUCUCUUCGUGCUUGCAUUCUAGGAUUCAGGCACUUGGGAGGACUCACAUUAAAUAUCUUCGAGGCUAGUGCUUUUGAGGGAUCAGUUUUCACUCACUUAGAUGCCAAACCAGGUAUGGUUGUCAAGGGGAAGGUAACUGUAGUUGCAGGAAUUCCUACACUACACCCCUCAUAAGAAUUCAUUAACAAUCAACACAUUUUAAGAUCAACAAUUACAAAUUUUAUUGAUUAAUUCUCUCAAAUCUUACCAGAAGGGAAAGAAAUGAAGCCAAGAAAAUAACAAUUGUUCUAGACUUUCUCUCUCCUAUUUACUUGCUCCACACUCGAAAAAGAUCUCUCUCCUUCCUUACGCCUGAUCGGCUCCUUAUAUUGGGUAUUACAUAGUGAAUGGCAACUAAUUUAACCUUUAUUUUCGGAUCUGGCUUGCGGUAUUUUCGCAAGCUUACAAAUGUUAACUCCGCGAACUUCCUAAUUUUCGCAAGAUCAUCACACUUUUCUCAUGUUUAAGCUGAUGUCAUUUGUUAUGUCAUUUCUGAAAUCAUUCUGCGAUGUCUUCGCGAUAUGUUGCUAAUAAUUUUGCAAGUGUGUCGUUGUUGCGAGAUUCUGACCCUAUAUCUUUCCUCUUCUCAUGUCUUCUCCGCGAAGGAGAGAAUGAUAUGAGAAAUUGUACUUCGAAAUGUCGCAGCUAUCCAUCUUUUCAUAUUCUUCAAUGCUGAAUUUAUUACACGUAUCUCUUCUUCCAUCCAUUUCUUGACACGUCUUUUUCAACCGUUAUUUCUCAACCGUUCACAUCUUCUCUUUUCAUUAAAUGUGUUUAUCUUCUCGAGAACUCUUCUCUAUAUAUAUUCUUCUCAUUCUUCUCUUUUUCUCUUUUUACUUUCUUCUUAAUUUUUCUGCAAUUUUACUGUUCCUCAGCAAAUUCCGCUGCUGCAAUUUUUUCUUCUUUCUUCCUCUUUCGAUCUUUUUAAAUCCUUCUUCAUUCCCAUACCCAGACAUGCCUCCAAGUGGCCAUAAACAUGAAAAAACUUUCGAAGGAAUCCAAAGAGAUCUCAAAGGGAGAGGUUUUACACUUUCUACUAUUCCUGGUGAAAGUGCUAAAUCUGUUCUCACUGCUAAACUACUUUCUGAUCAUCAUUGUGAUGAUCAAGAAAUCAUAGUUUCUCUUGGUCAGAUUCUCGCUGGCCUUCCUAUCCCUCUUUAUGAUCCCAAUUUUCCCCUAUUUUAUGAAAUUCUUUCUCAUGCGAACUUCUCGCGAGCCAUCUACCAAUUAAGUGGGGACUGCAUUCGUCUGAUGCUUGAGUUCGUUAACCGUGGUGCUGGUAAAGGAUCUCUUUAUCCCAAAGAAGCUAGGGAUCCUGAAUUUGUAAAUUUGGAGAUACUCGCUGAAAAAUACACAGUAGAGGGCUUCUUUGAAAAUUAUGAAUUAGUACCUAUGAAGAAAGAGAGCACUCGCUGGGGUGUUCGCUUGAAGAGAAAAGAUAAUAUCGCUGAUGAUAAAAUGCUCAUGCAAGAUAUCGAUUAGCACUCUGGUAAGAACAAUACUCCUCAUCAAUCUAAAGAUGAUAGAUGGUGUGUCUUCCCCUUGAUGUUGAAAGGGCCUUAUAUUGCUGGCUCAAAUGUUCUUCCCGCGAAUCUCGCUACUUAUCAACCUUGGGUAUUUAAUUGGCCUGAGAAGGAGAAAGAAAUUGAAAAGUUGAAAUCGAGUUACAACAGAACUGGGAAGGCUAACACUUUGUCAUCUCUUCGCUCAAUCACAGAUGAAGUUAUCGUUGAAAGAGAAGAGUAUGCCAAAGUUGCGAAGACUAAGGGUAAAGGUAAAUGUGCUCUUCGCAAGGAAAAAUCAACUGCCCCAUCUUCAAAGAAAAGAAAAGUCCGUUCUCCCUCUCCUUCGAAUUCUCAUUCUGAUGAAAGCUCCGAUGAUGAUGAUGAUGAUGAUAACUCUUUCGCAAAUAAAGAUUCUCUACCUGAAUCUUCUAUGACACAAUUGUUUAGCAUCUUUUCUGAUUCCAUGCAAGCAAUUGGAGAUGAUCACCUCACCAACACAUGCAAAGCUCUUGCGAAUAUCUGUGAUGCUCCUUUAUUGGAUGGUGAUGAUUCUCUUUGCAGAGUCUCCAGAUCAGUAACUCCAAGUUUUCUGAAUUCUCUUGGUAUUCUGACUGGAAAAGCUUCCUUCGCUGUUGCCUCAGAUUUGGAAAAAAGACGUAGGGCUCUUGAAAAGAAAAAUCUUCAACUUCGCAAGAGGAAUGAAGAAUUGGAAGCUUAGGUUGUUGGUCUUGGCGAGAAGAAUAAGCAAUUGGGAGCUGAAAUCUCCUUUCAGAAGGAUAAGAUUUCUAGCCUUCAAAAUGCCAAUGAUCAACUCUAUGACGUUUAUGGUCUUUCUGAUGAAGCCACCCUUAUUCGCACAUUCCCCAAUUCUAUGGAUAAUGAUACUCUUCUUGAACACCUUAACAAUUCUUUAAAUAAUUUUUCAAAUGACAAAAUUAAAUCUCUCUCCCUAAAUGAACCCAGAUCCAAACUUCGCCACUUAGAAAUUGACCAUAGAUCCAGCUUGGGCUUAGCCAACAAAUUUAAGCGUUUCUAUCUUGACUCUAAAGAGGAAAUUAAUAUUCUAAGAACCAAGAACAGUGGCCUCAUAGAUGAUAAAGACCAUAUCGCUAUCCAAGGUGCUCAAACUUUGGCGAAAUUCCAUGAAGCUCUUCUUGAGGUUCAAAUUGAACGAGAUGAAGCUAACCGCAAAAAUGUUGUACUUAACGAAAGAGAGAGUCAAGUUCGUUCCCGUCUUCUCAUAAUUAAUGAUGAUGAAUUCGCUUGGGCUGCGAAAGUUUUAGAUGACGCCAGAAAUAAUCUAGGUGUAAAUGUUAGUCUCCAAGCUGAGCACACGGUCUUGGUUAGAGAUAUGAUUUCUGACAGAGAAGGAGCUGAAGAAAGAUUUCGCAAAAUAAUUGAAGAGCUUGAGGCUGAAAAAAAGCAGCUCGUAAAGAAUCUUUCUUAUCGCAAUGAUAAAUGUUCUAGACUGAAGAAUCAAUUAAAGAUCAUUGUUGCGAAUUUUAGGAAUGAUGCUGUUCUUUUUCGCAACCAAACUAUUAAAAUGGUUUGUGAUGAUCAUAACAUUCUUCACUCCGCAUAUCCUUGCCUCUCAGAUGAAGUUCCAAAGAAUGCUCCUAAUCUAGUCAUCUCUGAUAGUGAAGCUGGUGAGUAUGAAGAUGAAGAAUCUGAUGAAGAUGAAGAAGAAGAAAAGUCUGAUGAAGAUGAUGAAGAAUCAAUCAAGAAAUAACUUUGAUUCCUUCUUUGAUCUUUUGUAAUAUUUGUAUAUUUAUUCCUUCUUCUUGUAAUCUAUUACUGCGAAUUCCUUUAGUUUCCAAUACUUCUCAAUAUAUGAGCUUCUUUUGUUUCUA